UAGUCCACGCCGUAAACGAUGUCGACUAGCCGUUGGGGACCUUAGAGUCUUUAGUGGCGCAGCUAACGCACUAAGUCGACCGCCUGGGGAGUACGGCCGCAAGGUUAAAACUCAAAUGAAUUGACGGGGGCCCGCACAAGCGGUGGAGCAUGUGGUUUAAUUCGAAGCAACGCGAAGAACCUUACCAAGUCUUGACAUCCUGCGAACUUUCCAGAAAUGGAUUGGUGCCUUCGGGAACGCAGUGACAGGUGCUGCACGGCUGUCGUCAGCUCGUGUCGUGAGAUGUUGGGUUAAGUCCCGUAACGAGCGCAACCCUUAUUCUUAGUUGCCAGUGGGUAAAGCCGGGCACUUUAAGGAGACUGCCGGUGUUAAACCGGAGGAAGGCGGGACGACGUCAAGUCAUCAUGGUCCUUACGCCCAGGGCUACAAACGUGCUACGAUGGUAGGGACAAAGGGAAGCUAGACCGCGAGGUGGAGCAAAUCCCAAAAACCCUGCCCCAGUCGAUUGGAGCUGCAACUCGCUCCAUGAAGUUGG
rnacentral:rRNA from 1 species